GUGGGGGUCGCGGGCCUGCGGGAGAGGACCCUGAGCUCCCCCGAGCCGGAAGCGUCCUGAGCCGGCCGGCCGAGCCUGGCGGGUCGCCCUCUAUUGAGACGCCAGUCGGGCACGUUGGCUGCACGAAGAGCGCUACCAAGUGCCCCAGGAUUUUGAGCGGGGUCUCUCUUGCCUUUCCCUGAACAAGCCUUCCACCGCCAGAGGAUGUCCGGGGCGCGAAAAGAACCGGUGGGGGAGCGGAAAGCGCCUUGGCGUGGGAAGAGUAGAGAAUGAAUUCCUUCCGAUUUGCUAGCUCUGUGAUCUUGGAUCCCUUCCUUGCGCUUCUGCUCUGCUCUGUAUUGCCUUGCAGGGUGUAGUUUCUCAGGCUUCCAGGACAGCUGCCUUUCAGGCUUGGGUUUGGCCAAUGGGAGACAUUGGCAGGAGACUGGAAGUUAGGAGCCACACCACGCAGCUUGUGGGAUGUUCCCUGACCAGGGAUUGAACCUGGGUCCCCCCGGAAUCCUAACCACUAGGCCACCAGGGAAUUCCCGAUUGGUGCUUCUUUACCAAAGAUACAACUCUAGCCCUCUGUGAAUCCUCCUGCCUCCUAGAACCGUGGAACAAAAGCCCAGAUUUAAGGAGAUACACACAAGGGUGUCCCCAGGAUGCACUCUCCUUACUGCUUC